UGCAAUGGAAAGGCUCUGCGGCAUAUA
rnacentral:piRNA from 1 species